AUUGAACGCUGGCGGCAUGCCUUACACAUGCAAGUCGAACGGUAACAGGUCUUCGGAUGCUGACGAGUGGCGAACGGGUGAGUAAUACAUCGGAACGUGCCCGAUCGUGGGGGAUAACGGAGCGAAAGCUCUGCUAAUACCGCAUACGAUCUACGGAUGAAAGCAGGGGACCGCAAGGCCUUGCGCGGACGGAGCGGCCGAUGGCAGAUUAGGUAGUUGGUGGGAUAAAAGCUUACCAAGCCGACGAUCUGUAGCUGGUCUGAGAGGACGACCAGCCACACUGGGACUGAGACACGGCCCAGACUCCUACGGGAGGCAGCAGUGGGGAAUUUUGGACAAUGGGCGAAAGCCUGAUCCAGCCAUGCCGCGUGCAGGAUGAAGGCCUUCGGGUUGUAAACUGCUUUUGUACGGAACGAAAAGACUCUUUCUAAUAAAGAGGGUCCAUGACGGUACCGUAAGAAUAAGCACCGGCUAACUACGUG
rnacentral:rRNA from 1 species